UUUUAUGUGAUGCAAUUAUGUUGCGACUGUUCAGAGAAAUAUUACGUAUUGAUCGAAGAACAUACAAAAAUUUUGGUCAUAAAAGAGAGCCAGAAUCAAGAUUUACAGUAAUUUGGCAUGGAUUUCUAACAUUUAGUUUUAUUGGACUGGGAGUGGAAUGGAAAAGAGUUUUAACAUUUUUGUUUGGAGACACUGAUCUACCACAUCCUCUUGAAUUAGAACCACAACAUGAAAAUCCAUCAAAAGUAUAGAAAAAUCAUGCUAAUAUUUGUAAA